rnacentral:rRNA from 1 species
AUUGAACGCUGGCGGCAGGCCUAACACAUGCAAGUCGAACGAGUGGCGGACGGGUGAGUAAUGUAUGGGGAACUGCCUGAUGGAGGGGGAUAACUACUGGAAACGGUAGCUAAUACCGCAUACCAUCAGAUGUGCCCAUAUGGGAUUAGCUUGUAGGUAGGGUAACGGCUCACCUAGGCGACGAUCCCUAGCUGGUCUGAGAGGAUGACCAGCCACACUGGGACGGAGACACGGUCCAGACUCCUACGGGAGGCAGCAGUGGGGAAUAUUGCACAAAGGGCGCAAGCCUGAUGCAGCCAUGCCGCGUGUAUGAAGAAGGCCUUCGGGUUGUAAAGUACUUUCAGCCGGGAGGCGUUACCCGCAGAAGAAGCACCGGCUAACUCCGUGCCAGCAGCCGCGGUAAUAC